AUUAUUUUGAGGUUAAUUUUGUUAGUAAGUAUAGUUUAUGAAAUCAAAAGAUUUUGGCGGUAUUUUAAGCUUUUUAGAGGAAUUUGCUCUGUAAUGGAUAAAACACCUAGAUCUUACUUAAUUUUGUUAAAACAGUUUGUAUACCCCUAUAUAUAAUAAUAUUGAGUAAUUAAUUAUUUUAAUUUUUUUUUUAAAAAUAUAUUAAGUCAAGGUGCAACUUAAAAUUAUGAAUGAAGUGAAUUACAUUGAUUUGUAUAAUAUUUUUUAUUUGAAAUAAUUUAUUAAGGAUUUAAUAGUAAAAAGGAAAUAUUAUGUUUUUUUGAAAAAAGUUCUAAAAUAUGUAC
rnacentral:rRNA from 1 species